ACAGAGAGACCCUGUCUCGAAAAACAAAAAACAAAACAAGCAAACAAAAAAAAUUGGACAAGUGGCAUCAGGGAGCAUAGGGUUCUGUCCCUUGAAGUACAGCCCCUUUCCACAGCGCUGGAGAGGAAGCUGGGCUCCGAGUCUGCGAUGCUGUACAUGGCCCUGCGACUUCUCAGAGUCCCAUGAAAAGUGGCUGAGGAGACAAACCAUGGAGGAAAU